UUCAACAAGGUCAAACAAAGUUUGACAAAAAAUUUCAGCAUUUUUAAAAGUCAGAAACUAUUUUUAAUCAAUUAAAAAUGAAUGAAAAUAACCUAAUUGAUGAGAAUAUUUUUCAUAGAUUCAUCAUCAUCCAAAGAGGUUAGGAAAAUAUUUUUGUAUUUUUGAAUAUCAAAAACUAUUUAAAAUGAAUUAAAAAUAACCAGAAAAGAGAAAAUUCACAAAAAAUAUCAAAUGAUAAAAUAAAUAAAAUAAAAAAUCAGAAUUAGAAACUAGAAAUUAUUCGGAGGAGAAUGCAAUUGGUCCCAUAUUUUUUGGAUUUAAAAUGAAGAAGAUGUGAAUUUUGG
rnacentral:lncRNA from 1 species